UUGGGUGGUCAGUGCUGUCAGGGCAGGUUCUGCUUCAUGUCUUGUGGUAUGUGCUACUGCAGGCACUUCCAUUAGAGUGCGGUGAGUUCUUAUUUGCAGUGUCUAUAAACUUUGCUUUUUUUUUUUUUUUCUUUGUAAGGACCCGGCAGGGUAGCAGUGUGUGCUCAUUCAUUUGCUCCGUUGGCUUCCUCACUUUUAGGUAAGCAUCCGCUCGAUCUCACAGGCAGCUCACGCACAUGGUCGGCGCGCGGCGGCCAUCUUGUGGGCCUUCGCCCAGCGGCUAAUCCUCACCAGCGGCUGUUUAGGUCCGGGUUGAUGUGCUGGCUAGUGCCCUUGCAGACCGGGAUGACCCCCCCGGUCCAGAGGGGGGGGAAGCGUGACGCCGGCCGGAGACCCGGGAGAGCGGCCGUCUCAUCCCGGCUCAAGCCCCAAUGGGCUCCGUGCCCCAGUCGGGUCACUGUCGGCGCCAGAGAGUCUCAUGCGGUAUACUAGUUUGCCCCAGUGACUGGGGGUCGGUGUGGUCGCCUG